AGGAGCGGCGAGCGCCUGCGCCGCCAUCUUAGUUCGUCGCCGGCGGGGGAGGACGCGGCGGCCGCCGGAGCGAAGGGGUCUCUCGCCCGCCCGUGUUCCCCUUCCUUCGGCGAGUGCGGUGGGCCGUCGGGGCGCGCGCGGCGGAGAAGCCCCCGAGCCCCGCUCCAGCCGCCGAGAUGCGGCUGCUGGCCCCGGCCUGCCUCCUGGCGGCGCUGCUCUGCGGCGGCCUUCGCGCCGCCCGAGUUAACAAGCACAAGCCAUGGAUUGAAACCACUUACCAUGGCAUUGUUACCGAAAACGACAACACAGUGCUCCUGGACCCUCCCUUGAUAGCACUGGAUAAAGAUUCGCCGCUUCGCUUUGCAGUCUUUCCUGAAGACUUGGGUUUAUCUUUUCUCCCUUUAGAGAGUUUUGAGCUGACCCUCAGCAAGGAAGGUGAGAUUUGUGGAUUUAAAAUUCACGGCCAAAAUGUCCCCUUCGAAGCGGUGGUGGUGGACAAAUCCACCGGGGAAGGGAUGAUCCGAUCCAAAGAAAAACUGGACUGCGAACUGCAGAAGGAAUACACCUUCACCAUCCAGGCCUACGACUGCGGGACAGGACCGGACCGAGUCAAUAUGAAGAAGUCUCACAAAGCCACCGUGCACAUCCAGGUGAACGAUGUCAACGAGUACGCACCAGUCUUCAAGGAGAAGUCCUACAAGGCCACGGCAAUCGAGGGGAAGCGGUACGACAACAUCCUGAAGGUGGAGGCGGUGGAUGCCGACUGUUCCCCGCAGUUCAGCCAGAUCUGCAGUUACGAGAUUGUCACUCCGGAGGUUCCCUUUGCAAUCAGCAAAGACGGUUACAUUAAGAACACGGAGAAGCUAAGCUUCAGCAAGGAGCACCAGUACAAGCUCACCGUCACGGCCUACGACUGCGGGAAGAAGAGGGCGGCCGAGGACGUGCUGGUGAAGAUCAGCAUUAAACCCACCUGCAAACCAGGCUGGCAGGGCUGGAGCAAAAGGAUGGAAUACGAACCCGGGACAGGGGCGCUUUCCCUCUUCCCCAGCAUCCACCUGGAGACCUGUGACGAGCCCAUCGUCUCGGUCCAGGCCACCGUCGAGCUGGAGACCAAUCACAUUGGGAAAGGCUGCGACCGAGACACCUACUCGGAGAAGUCCCUUCACCGGCUCUGCGGCGCGUCCUCAGACACCGCGGAGCUGCUCCCUUCCCCGAGCAACGCGGCCAACUGGACCGUCAACCUCCCCACCGACAACGGCCACGAAAGCGACCAGGUUUUCGAGUUCAACGGCACCCAAGCCGUGACGGUGCCGGAGAGCGUGGUCAGCAUCAGCCUGAAGGAGCCAUUUGUGAUUUCCGUCUGGAUGAGGCACGGCCCCGGGGCUAAGGAGAAGGAGACCAUCCUCUGCAAUUCGGACAAGACAGACAUGAGCCGUCACCGUUAUUCCCUCUACGUGCACAAUUGCCGGUUGGUCUUCCUCUUCCGCCAGGAUCCCUCCGAGGGGCAGAGUUACAAGCCGGCCGAAUUCCACUGGAGGCUGAAUCAGGUUUGCGAUCAGGAAUGGCACCACUACAUCCUCAACGUAGAGUUUCCGGUGGCCACGCUCUACGUCGAUGGCGUUUCCUUUGAUCCCUUCCCAGUGACUGAGGAUUAUCCCCUUCACGCCUCCAAGAUAGAAUCCCAGCUAGUGGUUGGAGCUUGCUGGCAAGAGUAUACGGAAAAUGAGAAUGACACGGACAAAGCCACAGAAAAUCCUGCAGGGGGUGACCAGCGGAUGGCUCAGUUCUUCCGCGGAAACCUGGCUGGCCUGACCAUCCGCUCGGGCAAGCUGGAGAGCAAGAAAGUCAUCGAUUGCCUGUACACCUGCAAGGAAGGCCUGGACCUGCCCACUGCGGACGGCGCUGCGAAGGGCCUCAAGAUCCACAUGAAUCCCAGCCAGUCAGCCCUGAGUUUAGAAGGGGACGACAUCGAACGGUUCGACAAAACCAUGCAGCGUAUCUCGUACGUGAACUCGCGCCAGUUCCCCACGCCCGGCAUCCGGCAGAUCAAAAUUACAAGCACGGUGAAGUGUGCCGACAAGGAAGCCUGCAUCGCCAUUCCGCUCGUGGAGGGCUACGUCGUGGUCCUACAGCCCGAGGAGCCCAAGAUCAGCCUGAGCGGCAUCGACCACUUUGCCCGCUCAGCUUCGGAGUUCGAGAGCCCCGAAGGCGUGUCCCUCUUCCCCGAGCUCCGGAUCGUCAGCACCAUCACCCGGGAGGUGGAGCCCGAGGGAGAAGGAGAGGAGGACCCUACAGUCCAAGAAUCCUUGGUGUCCGAAGAAAUCAUGCAUAAUUUGGACACCUGCGAAGUCUCGGUGCUAGAGGAGGAGCUGAACCGGGACCAAGAAAGCCUGGAGGUCGACCUGGUGAGGCUGCAGCAGAAAGGAAUGGAGAUGAGCAGCUCCGGCCUUGACCUCAUUCUUACCGGGGUGGACACCAUGGCUAGCUACGAGGAGGUUUUGCACUUGAUCCGGUACCGCAACUGGCACACCGUCUCACUCUUUGACCGGAAAUUCAAGCUGGUGUGCUCGGAGCUCAACGGACGCUACGUUAGCAAUGAAUUUAAGGUGGAAGUGAACGUCAUCCACACAGCUAACGUCCUGGAACACGCCAGCCACAUUGCUGCCCAGCAGCCCCAAUUUGUGCAGCCUGUCCAUCACUCUUUUGUUGACCUCUCUGGCCAUAAUCUCGUAAACCCUCACCCGGGGUUUUCCGUGGUUCCCAGCACCGCCACAGUGGUGAUCGUGGUGUGCAUCAGCUUCCUGGUUUUCAUGAUCAUCCUGGGGGUCUUCCGGAUCCGAGCGGCCCACCAGCGGACAAUGCGGGACCAGGACUCCGGGAAGGAGAACGAGAUGGACUGGGACGACUCUGCCUUGACCAUCACGGUGAACCCCAUGGAGACCUACGAGGACCAGCACAGCAGCGAAGAGGAGGAGGAGGAAGAGGAAAGCGAAGACGGGGCCGAGGAAGACGACAUCACCAGCGCCGAAUCGGAGAGCAGCGAGGAGGAGGAGGAGGGGGGCGAGCAGGAGGACCCCCAGCACGCCAACCGGCAGCAGCAAUUGGAAUGGGAUGACUCGACCCUGCCCUACUGAGUCCCCCUCCCACACGCUCCCUGCUCGCCGCCUCGGUUUUCUUUUCGUUUCGUUCUCUUGCUCCAGAGAACGCCAGGACAGACCCCUUCCCUUCCUUUCGGGGGUUCCCAGGGGGGCCUGACAGCCGCCCGGCCCCCCAAAACGUUGGCCAGUCUCCCUCCCCUCCCAACCCCCUCCCCUUCGUGUGCCGGGCAUAUCCGUUCCCAAUUCCCUGCCUAUAGAAAUGUAGCUAGCACCUCUCCUCUUUCGGUUGCCCCCCCACACACACACCUCCAGUGACUGGAUUGUGCUGGUUUUCCUAUUUUAUUUUAUUUUUAAACUUGCAAGGCCUUGCCCGGUGCUUUCUUCUGCUCCCGGUCAUCUCCUCCAGGGCCUCAAGUCAUCCCUACUGCCCCCCCUCCCUUUGAAAAAAAAAGAAAUUCCCCUUCCCCAUUUCCAAAUACGGGUGGCUCUUAAAGCAGCCACUUUUUUUUUUUUCUCCCAGCUUGCUGAGGAGGCUGCUUUAAUGAUCCACGGGAAGCCGAGUCUUCAACCAUUCUCAAAACAUGCCCAGCGCUAAUGUUUCCCCUUCCGCUUUUUCUCCUUUUUAGACUUUUUUUUUUUAACUUUAAUUAUAUAUAUAUUUUAAUUUUUCAGCCCACUUCCUCCUCCUCCUUCUCCCCCCUCCCUUUGCACCUCUUUUUCUGGGACGUGAGGGGGCAAAAGCCAGAAAACACUCCCUCCCCGCUCGUUCGUUGACUUGAGAGCUAACCUUUUUGUUUGUUUUAAUUUAGUCCUUUUCUUAAAAAACAAAAACACACACACAAAAAAACCCCCACCCUUGGUUUGAUUUUUAGCUGAUUUUCGGUUGUCUCGGGUCCUCCCCCCCCCCCGCAACGGUUUUCCAAGUCUCUCUCUUUUUCUCCCUUCUCCUUCCCAACCGCUAGUUGCAUGUGUAAAAUGGCAGAACGGGGUCCGAUAUGUAGGAAACUUAACAAGACUUUUUAAUAUUUUGUAAAUACGUCGGGAACUAUGUAAUUAUGUCACUUGUGGUAGUGAAAAACAUGGCUGGGCUAGGGAGGGAAGGUGGGGAGGGAGACGACCGUGCUGAGGUUUAAAAAAAAAAAAAAACACUGCGACGAUGAAGAAUCAAUCACGAAGCAUGACAUAAGCAGCGAUUUAAGGUUUGUUUUUUUUCCAGAAUUCCUAAGGACAGGUUUUAAAAAGUAGUGCAGAGAAAUGAAAGGACGACCGGAGGCGAUGGGACUCGACUGCAAAUUUCAUACGAGCUUAUCGCAUCAACAUUCCAGAUAACGUUUGAAGAGUGAUCCAAGAGAUCGAAAACACCCCAGCUGUUUUCACAAAACCUUGCCUGGAUGAUCUGGGCCAGAAGCAAAACGGUUUUCCCCGCCAAAGCAGUUUACACACCGGUAGUGGCGGGAAAGGUUACCUUAUCCUGAGGGGGGGGAUAGGGCUGGUGGGGAGAGGGGGGGGUGAGGAAAAGAUCUUCUCCCUGUUUUUAAGUUUUUUUUAAAAUAAUAAUGUGCUUUUCUGGCUCUGCUCUGCCCUAUGGCCAAAGCAAAAUUUGUUUCUAAUCUUGCACGGAGCACCUGCCCAUCCCCGGCUUGUCUCCAGGUAAUGGGAUAGAUCUGCCCGGAAAAGCACAAAAAAAUAAAUAAAUUAAAAGGGGGGGAGAAGGAGAGGGAUUCCAGCUGCCAAACUGCAGAAAGUUUUUUUUUUUCCCCUUUAAUUUGUGGAGUGAAGGGGAGUGAAGAAACAAAAAGAAAGCCAGGGACACCUGUUGUGGCAGAAUUUAUUUGAACAGGUAGACUUUUCCAUUUGGUCCUGGCCAUCCCAACCUUGAAAAACGGGAUGCCUGGAUCAAUUUACACCCCUCCCCCCCCCCCAGGCAUCCUUUGAGAAUCUUUUAACUGCCGAGCCAGUAAGGUUUCCUUUGGGUCGGUGUGAUCUCCACAGUGCCUUUGGCGACGGGACAGUUCAGAAAGCCAAACGCCAGUUGCAGUUACCACUACACACACCCUUUCACAAAAGCAAAAAGAAAAGAAAAGAACCCCCCCACAACCCCUGAUGGAUGGAUGGAUUAAACAGGCAAGGGGAAGCUGGUUUGAAAGAUUUCCACCCGCGAACGUUUCACUGGGAACACUCUUAACUUUGUGUCUGAAUUGUCCUGUGUUUUAUUGUCACCUUGUAGAAAACCUUAAGCCUUUUUCUCCAUGAUCCUUGUCUCUGUUUAGCAACUGUAUUUUAGAGACUGUAAACCUAAUCAUAUCCACUCUGCCCCCCCUCCAUGCUAAUACGGAAAGGCUGUAAUGUUUUUUUCCCCCUCCGAUGCGUUUUGUAGCCAUCAUGGGUCUUAACAUUUCAGAUGUGUAUAUUGGUAAAUAGGUCACGUUUGGAAAAGUCUGAGCUACAAUAAAUUUCUGGUUCUAAAAAA